AAUAUAUAUCUCAGGCUCCCAGGUUGAAUUGAUCAACACUGUAAAAUCACCAUGAACAAUUUGAUUAAAUUGAUCCCUGUAUGUAGUCAACUAGGUGAACAAAUUUGACAUGUUUAGGUAUGACUUAGCUAGCAGAACUAAACCAACUCUCUGGGUUUGACUACACAAUGGAAUUUUUUUCUCUGAGAUUAAAAAAUCAUCUGGGAGAAGGAAAAAAAAAAGAAAAAUAGAAGAAGAAGAAAAAUAAAAGGGUAAUUUAUUGGGGUUUAAUAUUAUAUUUGUGAACAGAACAUGGUGGUCCCUUCUUUAAGCUUCAAAUUCAUUUAUUAUAUGCUACUAUAACUAAUAUGUAAAUUACUGUGGACACACAGAGAGAGAGAGAGAGAGAGAGAGAGAGAGAGAUGGCAAUGGGUCAGGUCAAUAGCUGUAAGGAGGACAAAAAAAACCCACAAUUAAAUACUGACUCUUAAUGCUACAGUAGAGCAGAAGAGGACAGAGAGAUAGCUAGAGGUGCAUAAAAGCUAGCAUUUAUGCAGAUGAGGGAGGAAGAUAUAGCUAGAGAGAGCUGUAGGGGGAGAAUUGUCACGAGGCUUCUCUUUCUCUUACCUAAAACAUGCAUGCCUCGAGUGUUUGUGUGCAAGGAGAUUCAGCUGGUUGCUUAAAAAGAGCCUUAAUUUCCAUCAAAGGCCAAACCUUUAUGCAGCGUCUUGCUUCUUCUUUCUAUUCUCUUGUCUGGUUUUGUUGGUUUGAGAGCUUGAAGCUGCCAGCAUGAUCUGGUAUACUUAACCUAUAGCUAUAUCAGCAUCACACUACUAGUAAUAUAUAUAUAUAUAUAUAUAUAUAUAUAUAUAUUAGAUCUUGCAGCACCAAAUUAUAAAUAUAUAUGUAUGGCCAAAUAGGUAGAGAUUGAUUUUUGGAUAUACAGAACUAAACUUUGGUGGAUGCCAUCAUUUCUUAUAGAUCUUGAUAAUUUCAUGUUUUUGAAGAGAAGGGUUUUUAGUCAAUUAAUUAAGCAAGAGAAUUGACAUCCUGCUAAUUACAUAUAUAUUUAGUUUAAUUACUAGCUAGAUAUAUGUAAGGUUCUUCUACCAGGUCAUCUUGCAGCUUCAAUCACUCACAACAACAAUAGAAAAACUUCUUUAGCUAAGGAUAUAUACAAGGUCUCUUCCCAAGCACCGGUUUAUUUCAGGGAGAAACUUUCACUACCAAAGGGCCUUUCUUUCCAAUUGUACUAACAUGUGUUAGCUUUGUUAUGCUUUAAUAGGAGAUUUCCAAGUUUACCAUGUUUAUAUAUUAUUAAGAAUCAUUUUGAAAAACCUCUAAGAGGUUGUAACAAAUGUAAUUUGAUAAUGCAAGAACUUCAAAACUAUUACCAUUUGAUUUGA